rnacentral:rRNA from 1 species
GUGCCAGCCGCCGCGGUAAUACGUAGGGUGCGAGCGUUAAUCGGAAUUACUGGGCGUAAAGCGUGCGCAGGCGGUUUUGUAAGACAGGCGUGAAAUCCCCGGGCUCAACCUGGGAACUGCGCUUGUGACUGCAAGGCUAGAGUACGGCAGAGGGGGGUGGAAUUCCACGUGUAGCAGUGAAAUGCGUAGAGAUGUGGAGGAACACCAAUGGCGAAGGCAGCCCCCUGGGUCGAUACUGACGCUCAUGCACGAAAGCGUGGGUAGCAAACAGGAUUAGAUACCCUGGUAGUCCACGCCCUAAACGAUGUCAACUAGGUGUUGGGUGGGUAAAACCAUUUAGUACCGUAGCUAACGCGUGAAGUUGACCGCCUGGGGAGUACGGCCGCAAGGUUAAAACUCAAAUAAAUUGACGG